AAGGGUAUAGCUAAGUGAUAGAGUGCAUGCCAAGCAUGCAUGAAGUCUUGGGUUCAAUUCCUAGUACCUCCA
rnacentral:tRNA from 1 species